UACAGAGGUCCCAAGCGUUGUUCGGAUUCACUGGGCGUAAAGGGUGCGUAGGUGGUGAGGUAAGUCGGAUGUGAAAGCUCGGAGCUCAACUCCGAAAUGGCAUUGGAAACUACCUUGCUCGAGGGUUGGAGGGGGGACUGGAAUACUUGGUGUAGCAGUGAAAUGCGUAGAUAUCAAGUGGAACACCAGUGGCGAAGGCGAGUCCUUGGACAACUCCUGACACUGAGGCACGAAAGCUAGGGGAGCAAACAGG
rnacentral:rRNA from 1 species